CUUGGUCUUUUGCGUACCGUAUGUUUCUCUCGGCGGGCUUGCCUGCCGGUUGGACAUUAUCAAACCUUUUUGUAGUUGCAAUCAGCGUCAGAAAAUAAACAAUAAUUACAACUUUCAACAACGGAUCUCUUGGUUCUGGCAUCGAUGAAGAACGCAGCGAAAUGCGAAAAGUAGUGUGAAUUGCAGAAUUCAGUGAAUCAUCGAAUCUUUGAACGCACAUUGCGCCCCUUGGUAUUCCAUGGGGCAUGCCUGUUCGAGCGUCAUUUUGUACCCUCAAGCACUGCUUGGUGUUGGGCGUUUGUCCUGCAAAGGACUCGCCUGAAAGCGAUUGGCGGCCAACGUACUGGUGGUAGAGCGCAGCACAAUGUUGCGUCUCUCCCUUCUACGUCGGCGUCCAUGAAGCCUUUUUUCAACGUUUGACCUCGGAUCAGGUAGGGAUACCCGCUGAACUUAAGCAUAUCAAUAAGCGGAA
rnacentral:rRNA from 1 species